GACGAACGCUGGCGGUGUGCUUAACACAUGCAAGUCGAACGGAAAGGCCCUGCUUUUGUGGGGUGCUCGAGUGGCGAACGGGUGAGUAACACGUGAGUAACCUGCCCUUGACUUUGGGAUAACUUCAGGAAACUGGGGCUAAUACCGGAUAGGAGCUCCUGCUGCAUGGUGGGGGUUGGAACGUUUCGGCGGUUGGGGAUGGACUCGCGGCUUAUCAGCUUGUUGGUGGGGUAGUGGCUUACCAAGGCUUUGACGGGUAGCCGGCCUGAGAGGGUGACCGGCCACAUUGGGACUGAGAUACGGCCCAGACUCCUACGGGAGGCAGCAGUGGGGAAUAUUGCACAAUGGGCGGAAGCCUGAUGCAGCAACGCCGCGUGCGGGAUGACGGCCUUCGGGUUGUAAACCGCUUUCGCCUGUGACGAAGCGUGAGUGACGGUAAUGGGUAAAGAAGCACCGGCUAACUACGUG
rnacentral:rRNA from 1 species